ACAAUGAAAAUGGAAGUGCACCAUGAUGUAAAAAUCAAUUGAGGAGGUUUGAAAUAUUGCUACUGAAACAUUUACACCCCGACAUUUUUUGAGUUUCCUGGGGCACCAGCCCUGUAGUUAUCUCCUUGGAAAAAGUCAAAUUUGGCCUGGAAUGAGGAGCACCUAUGGAAAAGGAAUUGAGAGGAGGGAUAUGAUUAAAUGAUAUACCUGUUCCCAGCUAGAGCUAUGAAAUAGAAGGAAGCAGUAAAAACCCUUCCUGGAAGGAUUCUUGUAAGCAGAUUGUUCUUCAGCCCUUUGAAGGAAACCUCUCCUUUCAAAAUCCCCUCUGGCCACGUGAUUUACAGAAGCACAUGGGAAAAGAAAACACCUUCAAAGGAGUGGUUAUCCUGAUAACCAGCGUCUCUAACCGGCAGCUGCAUGAAGAUCAGAGGUGUCAGAAUAUGACAUAGCCUGAAUUUUUUGGAAACGUUUUGUUUGUUUGAGUCACCUCUUCCUGGAGCAGUUCUGUAUCACUGCAUGCAAAGAAUGUUCCAGAAAUAUCAGUACUGAUAUACAAAUAUUUUGUUCUCUGGCCUAGCAAGUUUUGUUUAAGUAAUAACCUCACACAAGUAAUAUUAACUAUAGCUGAUUCAGUUAUAGAUUUACUCUGGAAAUUCCCUUUCUGUGUGGAGAAUUAUCCACAGAAAUAAGGAAACUAUGAAGUACUUUCCCUCCUUCAGCAGAUUUUUAUGUGUUACCGUAAUCACCUUUUUGGCAUUGCUUAAACAAAAUGACAGAAAAUGUUUUCUGUGUUUUUCCCCUUAAUAUGAAUUCAUCAUGGUUUGAAGUCAGUGGUGCAUUUCAACAUAAAAUCAAGGAGACAAAGAUAUCAAACACUGUUCCAAGUCCCUCCACAUCAGAGAAAAAGGGUUACAGGCAAGAUAAACAGGCUUUUGGCCACAUCCUUUGAGAUACUCCUACUGCUCUGGAAAGAGCACAAACCUAAAUAUUUUAAAAUAGCACUGCUUAGUGAUAUAAUUACUCUGAUCAUCUGAAGUUGAUCCAGGAAGGAUUUUGACUGACUAUGUGGCUCUAGGAAAUAGUUUUAAAAUGGAUUUGUCAGACUUUAUUAUUAUUAUUAUUUUUUAAUCCAUAUCUACCAUUAUUUUACCUCUAGAAGCAAAAUAAUCAAUUGGAAUUAUUUCAUAUUCUUACUUUGAAUUUCAAUAAUAGUGAUGUACUAUCUUAAUAGAGCAAAAGGGUCCUUUCUUUUUAAUUACAUUCAGAGCUAUUUUAUUGCUCAGUUCAUUCUGCAAAGCUGUGUACCUGUGACUUCUGUCACCUAAUGGAUGUUUUGAAUGGAGUCAUUGUAUUGUAUCUCCAGAUAAUUACAUCUAAUUGUAUCUUCAGAAUUUCAAUGUUAAUAGAGACAUGACUAGAAUUUCAACAUUAUUCUUCUGACAAAGCACUUCUGAAAUGAAAAAAAUAUGAAAUGAAUAAAUAUAUAUU
rnacentral:lncRNA from 7 species